UACGUAGGGACCAAGCGUUGUUCGGAUUUACUGGGCGUAAAGGGCGCGUAGGCGGCAAAUUAAGUCAUCUGUGAAAUCUCCGAGCUUAACUCGGAACGGUCAGGUGAUACUGAUCUGCUAGAGUGCGGAAGGGGCAAUCGGAAUUCUUGGUGUAGCGGUGAAAUGCGUAGAUAUCAAGAGGAACCCCUGAGGUGAAGGCGGGUUGGUGGGCCGGCACUGACGCUGACAGCGCGAAAGCCCGGGGAGCAAACGGG
rnacentral:rRNA from 1 species